CACCUGUUUAUCAAAAACAUGGUUUUUAGAUUAUGAUUUAAAAUUGGUCCUGCUCAAUGAAUUAUUAAAUAGCUGCAGUAGAUUAACUGUACAAAGGUAGCAUAAUCAAUUGCUUUUUAAAUGGAAGCUGGGAUGAAGGGAUUGAUGAGAUUUAGACUGUUUCGAGUUAAAAUGAAGAAUUUGUAAUUUAAGUGAGAAUUCUUAAAUGAAUUUAGGGGACGAGAAGACCCUAUAGAAUUUUAUAUAAGUAUAGUAGAGUUAGGGGGGAAGAUUUAAUAUAUUUAUAUUUAGUUGGGAGGAUUAUUAAAUUUAUUAAACUUUAAUUGAAAAGAAAAUAUAGAUUAAUGAGUUAAAGGAUGAUUAUUAAGAUUGAGAAGAAUUAAUUACCUUAGGGAUAACAGCGUAAUAUUUUUGGAGAGAUCAUAUUAAUAAAAAUGUUUGCGACCUCGAUGUUGAAUUAAGAUAAAAAUUAGGUGUAGAAGUUUAAUAUUUAAGUCUGU
rnacentral:rRNA from 1 species